rnacentral:rRNA from 1 species
UGGAAUUGACGGGGGCCCGCACAAGCGGUGGAGCAUGUGGUUUAAUUCGACGCAACGCGCAGAACCUUACCAGCCCUUGACAUGUCCAGGACCGGUCGCAGAGAUGUGACCCUCUCUUCGGAGCCUGGAGCACAGGUGCUGCAUGGCUGUCGUCAGCUCGUGUCGUGAGAUGUUGGGUUAAGUCCCGCAACGAGCGCAACCCCCGUCCUUAGUUGCUACCAUUUAGUUGAGCACUCUAAGGAGACUGCCGGCGAUAAGCCGCGAGGAAGGUGGGGAUGACGUCAAGUCCUCAUGGCCCUUACGGGCUGGGCUACACACGUGCUACAAUGGCGGUGACAAUGGGAAGCAAAGGGGCAACCCCUAGCAAAUCUCAAAAAA